UCUCCGUUAUCCGGAGCAGCCCUCAUAGAGUUCUCCCUUGCGGGUAGCAACUAUGAGUAAGGGUUGCGCUCGUUGCGGGACUUAACCCAACACCUCACGGCACGAGCUGACGACAGCCAUGCAGCACCUCUACACAGGUCCCUUGCGGGAAGUCUCGAUUUCUCAAGAUGGUCCUGUGCGGUUCAAGCCCAGGUAAGGUUCUUCGCGUUGCGUCGAAUUGAACCACAUGUUCCACCGCUUGUGCGAGCCCCCGUCAAUUCCUUUGAGUUUUAGCCUUGCGGCCGUACUCCCCAGGCGGGGCGCUUAAUGCGUUAGCUGCGGCACGGAGGACGUGGAAUGUCCCCCACACCUAGCGCCCAACGUUUACGGCAUGGACUAC
rnacentral:misc_RNA from 1 species